CAUCCUCAAGAUAACUUACAGGUAGUUUCACUUGUAUCUAGGAAUGACCACAAAUUUUAAAGAACUCUGUGUUACCGACUCCUACUGGGCUCUAUCCAAUCCUCUGCUGCUAAUGUCAUUCGUUUCCUUGUGCUUGGAAAUUGACCACGCGUUGCUAAUUUUCGUUCGGUUUCCCCUUAUAAAAGUCAUAGACAUUUAGGUUGCAGUAAGUACUCGGUUUAUAGAUAUCGGUACUGAAAAAAUUUGGAGGUUAGAUCACGUUAUGCACUCAUAGUGUGAAAAUGGGAAAAUCGCACAGAUCUUCCUCUCGAUCUAGUUCUGUCUCCAGCACGGACGCUCAUAGACGAAGCCAUCGAGACAAAUCCGACCUCGAAAGGCGUUUACGCCAUUUGGAACGGAAAGUCCGCAAAUCUCGUCACGCCCGGAAACAUCACACCAGGCGUAGUCGUUCCACAUCUCUUUCUCCACGUCAUACACAUGAACGUGGGGAAAGAACAAGUCCUCUUCACAGCAGCAAGGAGUCAGAAGGGUUUGAUCGCGGCACAUUUUCUCGAUGCCCGACCCCUAUUUCUCUGCCAACCAACGGUGGCGAGCCUGAGACCGCUGAUGUACUUGUUUGCUUGGAACCCGACCUCGAAAAAGAGGUUUUAGCCUUGUUAGGGGAUGACCCAUCAGAAAAAUCUGAGGAGAUUCACCUUCAUGAAGCACUAACUGUGCGUUGGAACUACAACCUCACACGAGGUUUGGAUGCUCAGGUAAAAACAGCAUUAUUGGGGAAAUACCAAACACCAAUCAAUUGCGAAUUACUCAAAGCACCAGAAAUUCUACCUGCAUUAGCCGAUAUACAAAUCAAGAAGGAUAAGUAUCAACGUUUAGGUCAAUCUCAAUUGGGCGUGGGUCUCACCUCACUAGGUGAAGCUUUGACCCUUCUUCUGAAGGAGAGUGGUUCCCGAAAUGAGGAAUUAUUGAAAUUAUUAAUAGAUUCCGGAAAAAUUUUGACAGAUCUUUUCUUUAAUAUGUCCCGAUCUAGAAGAGCCAACAUUGCUCAAAAUCUUAAUAAGUCUAUGAAGGACAUAAUCCAGAAAGAUACACCAGGUCACUUUCUGUUUGGAGAGGACUUAAGUGAACGCAUUAAAUCUGCAAAGACUUUACAAAAGUCAAGUUAGGACCUCAAAGCGGUACCAGAUAAAUUAAUAGUAAAAACCCCUAAAAUCAGUCAAAAAAGAGGGGGGGGGAAGGAACAACUAAUUACCCAUCCACCUCCAGGUCUUUAAACUCGAGGAGCUCGUUUCGGUCAACGAGGGACCUGAAACAAAAAGGGCGAGAUCCUCGACCGUAUCAGAGUUACAAAAAUUACCGGAGUCGCAGUCCCUCACGCUCCAACAAACGUUAGAGGUAAUAGCAGGUAGAUUGUCAUACUUCAGGACUGAAUGGCGAAAAAUCACUAAUAAUCACAAAGUUCUUGAAUGGGUUAAAUCUUUUAAAAUCCAUUUUGUAGUCGAGCCAAUUCAGAAUCGACCACCAUCUUCUGCGAAAUUAAACAAGGAGGAAAGGGAUGCAAUGUCGGUUUCCAUAGAUGCACUUUUAGGUGAAGGAGUGAUUCGUAAGUGUCACCCUUGCACUGACCAAUUUAUAUCAAAUUAUUUCUUGGUCAAAAAAUCGAAUUGCAAGAACCGCUUUAUCUUGAAUUUAAAAAAUUUAAAUAAACACCUGGAUCCUCUCCAUUUUAAGAUGGAGGAUAUGCGAACAGUUACCAAACUCAUAAAAAAGAACUGGGUUAUGACAUCCAUUGAUUUGAAAAAUGCUUAUUUUCUUAUUUCUAUUGACGAAAACUCUAGGAAAUAUCUUAGGUUUGAAUUUAGAAAUCACCUAUUUGAGUUUGUGUGCAUGCCCUUUGCAUUGUCGAUUGCUCCCUAUGUUUUCACAAAAAUUAUCAAACCAGUUGUAAACUGGUUACGUAUGGAGGGAGUUUUUUGUGUGAACUAUUUAGACGAUUUUUUAAUUUUAUCAGAAAACUAUAAAGUUGGUCUAAGAAAUACUCACCUAGUAUUAUCUCUACUAAAAUCUUUAGGAUUCAUUAUUAAUGAAGAUAAAAGUUGUAUAAUUCCAAACACAAAUUGCAAAUUUCUAGGUUUUUUGUUUAACUCAAGUGAACUAACAGUAGAAUUACCGCAUGACAAGAAGCAAGCUAUUUUACAGACAAUUUUACAGAUUAAAGUUUGUAAGAAAUUAAAAAUUAGGAAAAUGGCUCAACUUUUAGGUACUUUAACAUCUGCUUGUCCGGCAGUGACGUAUGGCUGGUUAUACACCAAACAUCUCGAACGGGAUAAAUUCCUUGCCUUAAGCAACUCUAAGGGCAACUAUGAAUCAUAUAUGCAGCUUUCCAUCCAGUCUUUGAAGGAUCUCGAUUGGUGGACUAACACGAUUCCUUCAUCUAAGAACAGAAUAAGGAAUGAUGAAUUUCAUUUAGAAAUAUUUACGGAUAGUUCUUUGACAGGGUGGGGAGCACACUGUAAGGGCACAUCUGCUAGUGGCAACUGGCCAAUGGACUUACAGCGGGAACAUAUUAAUUUUUUAGAACUUUUAGCAAUCUUUCAUGGACUAAGAUGUUUUGCGAGAAAUUGUUCGAAUCUGAAUAUUCUUAUUCGUACUGAUAACACUACAGCUUUGUCGUAUAUAAAUAAAAUGGGUAGUGUACAAUAUCCAAAAUUAAGUUCUCUUGCUCGUGACAUUUGGCAGUGAUGCAAAAAUCGUAACUUAUGGUUACACGCCUCGUACAUUCGUUCAGAAUGUAAUGAUAUAGCAGACAAGGAAUCUCGAAAGUUGCCUGUAGAAACAGAGUGGUCGCUAUCACAAGAGGCAUUUACCAAAGUGGUAAAUAAAUUUGGUCAACCUGAAAUUGAUCUAUUUGCUUCCUUUUAUAACACCAAAUGUGACACAUAUGUGUCUUGGAAACAUUGCAACUGAUUCGUUUACUAUUUCUUGGAGUGAUUAUUACUUUUAUGCUUUUCCGCCAUUCAGUCUCAUUUUAAGAGUUUUAAACAAAAAUCAUAUGUGAUAAAGCAGUGGGGAUAGUAAUUGUUCCCAAAUGGUCAUCGCAGCCGUGGUAUCCCUUACUAUCUAAAUUGCUGGUUCAAGCCCCUUUAAAUUUAGAAGCAAAUCCUCAUCUACUUUCUUCUCCUUAUAGUUACGAACAACACCCUCUGAGGCUUACUCUGGUUGCCACACUUUUGUCAGGGAAGUUUUUUCUCAGAAGAAAAAUACCCGAACAAUCAAUCCCUAUAAUGUUGCAGUCUUUGUCGACCGGGACUUUAAAGCAGUAUGACUGCACAUACAGCAGCUGGUGGCUUUUCUGUUCAAAGUUCAAUCUAUGUCCUUAUAUUGCUACUUCCAAUGAGGUACUACAAUUUUUGCAGGACAUAUUUACCUCAAAAAAUUAUAGUUAUGGGACGUUUAAUUCCCAUCGCUCAGCUUUAUCUUUAAUCAUUCCUGAUAUUGGAACUAAUAUUUACAUAAAACGAUUUUUGAAGGGGAUAGCGCGACUUCGCCCGGUACGUCGCAAAUACGACUUUACUUGGGAUCCCAGUAAGGUCUUAGAUUUUUUGAAUAACUUGUUUCCUAAGACCAACCUUUCAUUGCAAAAACUCACGUACAAAUUGAUCACGCUGUUAGCACUGAUCACUGGACAUCGUGUUCAAACACUAUCCUUGAUUAAAUUAUCAAAUAUUCUUAAGAUGGAUACCAAAAUUCAGAUCCGAAUAACAGAAAACAUUAAAACGUCUUUACUGACAAAAAACGAACCGUGCCUUCAAAUCCCUUUCUUUAACGAACAACCUGGAGUUUGUGCUGCUCUAACCUUAUCAGACUAUAUCCAGAGGACUGCUCAGAUUCGUAAAGAUGUUGACUCUCUGUUCCUGACAAUAAAAUCACCUCAUAAAGCAGCUAAUAAACAAACAUUAAGUAAAUGGAUAAAAACCACAUUAUCUAUGGCUGGAAUUAAUACUAGUAUUUGCUCAGCUCAUUCAACUAGCCAUGCGUCAUCAUCUGCAGCUUUACGCAAAGGCAUUUCAUUGGAUGUAAUCCAUAAGACUGCAGGUUGGUCCGAAAAGUCACAAACUUUUGCCAAAACCUACAAUCUGCCUCUAGCUGCAGAGACCGAUUUUGCCAAGGCAAUUAUGCAAUGAGUCAUGUGCCUUUUUUCCUUUUCGUUAUUAAAAGAAUAUAUGUUUUGUUUAUCUUUAAUUUUACAAUGUAGACGCUCAAAUAAACUUUUGAUGUUA